GACUAGUGACAGAGUGAGGGAAGGGGUGACUAGUGGCAGGGUGAGGGAAGGAAGGGGUGACUAGUUACAAAGUGAGGGAGGUGGUGACUGUCACUAGUCACCACCUCCCUCUGUCACUAGUCACACCCUCCGUUCCUUACUCUGUCACUAGUCACCCCCUAACUCACUCUCACUAGUCAUCCCCCUCGCUCACUCUGUCACCAGUCAUCUGCUUACUCUGUCACCAGUCACCCCUUCCUUCCCUCACUCUGCCACUAGCCACCCCUUCCCUCACUCUGUCACCAUUCAUUC
rnacentral:sRNA from 1 species